UUAUCUCUGUAGAGUCUGCAUAUCAAUAAGCGGAGGAAAAGAAACUAACUAGGAUUCCCCUCAGUAACGGCGAGUGAAGCGGGAAGAGCUCAAAUUUGAAAUCUUCAAGGGUUUACCAUUACGAAUUGUAGUUUAAAGAAGUGUUUUCUGUUGGAGUUUCGGUAAAAGUUCUUUGGAAUAGGACAUCAUAGAGGGUGAGAAUCCCGUAUUUGACCAGUUACUUUCCAGCUGUGUGAUACACUUUCAAAGAGUCGGAUUGUUUGGGAAUGCAGUCCAAAAUGGGUGGUAAAUUUCAUCUAAAGCUAAAUAUUGGCGAGAGACCGAUAGCGAACAAGUACCGUGAGGGAAAGAUGAAAAGAACUUUGAAAAGAGAGUUAAACAGUACGUGAAAUUGUCAAAAGGGAAGCGUUUGACACCAGUGUUGUUUAGCUCGAAAAUCAAUUAAAAAAGAUUGGAUUUUGUGUUGUAUUGACUUUAUCAGCUUUCUGCACUCUUUUCUUGUCUUUUUUAAUGCACUUUUCGUUUAACAAGUCAACAUCAAUUUCUUUUGUUGUAAAAGGGUCAUUGGAAGGUGGCUUUCUUUUCGGAGAAAGUGUUUAUAGCCUUUGGCUUCUGCAAUCGGAGAGAUUGAGGUCUGCAGCGUAGAUCCUUCGGGGUUAGAUACAUUUGUGCUAAGUUAUAGCCUUUCAUAGACAACUUGUUGACUAUGAUCAGUCAUGUAGCUUACUCGCUUAUGCUAUUUUACCUACGCUUAGGAUGUUGAGUAGCGACAUACGCAC
rnacentral:rRNA from 1 species